AGUUAAACUAGGGAAUUGCUUAUAUGUUAAAAAACAAAAACAAAAACAAAAAACGAGUAAAGACUUGUUUGAAUGGCGAUCACUUGGAAAAUAGGAAGAAAAAGAAAUACGUAUGUUGCCAGUUUCUCUGGAAAACCCUUC
rnacentral:lncRNA from 1 species